rnacentral:lncRNA from 1 species
GUCCCAUCUAGACCUGGUGACUUAAUAUUUUUUAAAUUACCUAUUUGCGCCAGUGCCUCUUCAUUUGAUACCUUAAUCCUUAAUAGCAACUCACCUUUAUUACCAGAAAAGAGCAAGUCAAGAACAGAUUUCUCCCAACAUCCCCCGAGGUGGGAACUUAUGAAAUGAAAUCAUUUCGCUUCUCAGCUGUGUCCUCAUCUUCCUUAAUUGUUCCUUUUAACUCCUGGGGAGCCAGCAGACCUGUCUCAUCCCUUUGCCGACUUUCCUCUUCUUGUCAGACUUGAAUUACCUAUUGUUUGUUUCCUUGCCUUCCAAGCCUUGCUAUUUCUUUCCGGCUUCCUGCUUCCUCUCUUCCUGCUUGUGUUUUCUGCCCCUGUUUAUUGACCUCACAAAGGUUGGAUUUCCAUUUUGUGAAGGACCAUUGUGUGGCCCAAGCACCUUUCUGAACCCUGCUUCUUACCUGCUUGGCUCUGCCUUCACCCCGCUCAUGCCCACACAAGCAUCUUGAGCCCAUCACUGGUGCCAGCUCUCAGUAUUGCUGAGCAUAUGCUGAGAUCUCGUUAAUGGCAAUUAAACCAGAGCGCGUGGUUAAGUACCUUGCAGAAGGUAGCUGCUUUGCUGUGUCACUUCUUAAAGAGCACCCAUGCCAAAUUUCAGCAUUUUAAUCUCUUCACUAUUGACUCCGGAUGCUGUCGACCAGCUUCCUCCUUUUGUUGCAAUCUCUCAGUCUAGAGGUUAGCAUAGCUGCGAUAGGAUUUGAUCCUCUUCUUUCCCAACGAUGAUGAACAUAAUUACAUUCUUAACAAGUGAAUUAAAUUACAGCAUGAUUUCUCUAACAAUGAGCGCUCUCCUCGCCAUGGGCUGAAGAGGAGCUGAGCUGCUGGCACGCGGGAGCCCACGCCAUGCUUCAGAAUGAGCUCAGCAAGUUAUUAUUCUAUGCAAGCACGAUGCCCUCCCAGGACUGCACUACAGGACCAGGCAUUUGCUUGGAUAAAACAGUUUGGCAACACUUGCUAUUGAGGAAAUUUGUGGUCUGUGUGUUGGGGAAUGACUCAGUGGAGCCAGGAGCUGUCUGAAAGCCCCCGCUGAGGAUUUGCUCUGAGCACAGCCUGCGGGGCUGGUGGGUGGGCAAACAAUG